GAAUGCGUUCAACACUGAAUGACAAAAGAAGAGGCCAGGGCAAUACCGGAAUGGGCAAGUUCUACAGGAUGCAGACAGGAACUCAUCUCAACAUGUCCAUGGUCUCAGACAUCACUAAGUUGCCUGCCUCAUUCUGAAACAGCCACAUAGAACUGAACUGCCAUACAGGACAGGAGACAAAAUUAAUUAUCUGCCUGCCUUCCCCCAUCCAUAUGCCUAUUAGUCUAGAGAGAGGUGCACUGGGUUGUGAGGCAGGGAAACCAUGAGCUUCUUUGACUUUCAUUAAGGGCCUACCUUCCAGUUCAACUCCUAAUUCUUCAGAAGACCCAAAACCUUUCCCAUAAGUGGGUGAUAAGAGAGUUUACGGCUCUGACUGCUUUUUAACCAAGAUGAUCCCAAAAUCUCUUGGCAAGAAGACAGAGAAGCUGCGCGUAUGCUUUCCUGGAUGCAGUGGCCACUUUGGAGGAAGCUGUGAAAUGAGGAAGCUGCAGAAUCCUGAAUGCAGCUGAUGUCCCAACCAGUCGAGUAGAAAGGACUCUUCCCCAUCCGAGGGUUAACAGGAUAAGAAGAAGUG